CACGGUGGAUGCCUAGGCAGCCAGAGGCUGAUCCCUUGCCGAACUCAGAAGUGAAACCGCUUAGCGCCGAUGGUAGUGUGGGGUCUCCCCAUGCGAGAGUAGGUCAUCGUCAGGCA
rnacentral:rRNA from 2 species